rnacentral:rRNA from 1 species
UACGUAGGGUGCGAGCGUUGUCCGGAAUUACUGGGCGUAAAGAGCUCGUAGGUGGUUUGUCGCGUUGUUCGUGAAAACUCACAACUCAACUGUGGGCGUGCGGGCGAUACGGGCAGACUGGAGUACUGCAGGGGAGACUGGAAUUCCUGGUGUAGCGGUGGAAUGCGCAGAUAUCAGGAGGAACACCGGUGGCGAAGGCGGGUCUCUGGGCAGUAACUGACGCUGAGGAGCGAAAGCGUGGGGAGCGAACAGG